UAUUUUUUGUUGAUAUAAAUUUUGAUAAGUCAGGAAGUAUUGACUCAAUAUUAAGGUUAAUGUCUUUAGAACUUUGAGAUAUUAACUUUAAGUUCCGUCUUAAGUAAAUUUAAGUCCCACCAUACAAGACUUUUGUUUAGAUUUUUUUUUCUAAAUUCGGAUAUAUUAUGAUUGUGCAUUAUAAUAAUUUAAUUUUAGUUGUAGUUCUUCAAACAUGCAUUAUUUGUGUUUGUGCUUAUAGUUGUUGGUGCAACAAGUCACAAAUUAAAUUGCAACUCAUCAUGCAACUAGUUUUGUUUAGACUAGUUUGUUUUAUGUUGAAUUUUUUCACAUGAUUUUGUGUAGCAAAUUAAG
rnacentral:lncRNA from 1 species